UACGAAGGAUCCAAGCGUUGUCCGGAUUUACUGGGUUUAAAGGGUGCGUAGGCGGGGAAUUAAGUCAGUGGUGAAAGCUGGUAGCUUAACUAUCAAAUUGCCAUUGAAACUGAUUUUCUUGAGUGCGGUUGAGGUAGCUGGAAUGUAACAUGUAGCGGUGAAAUGCUUAGAUAUGUUACAGAACACCGAUUGCGAAGGCAGGCUACUAAACCGUAACUGACGCUGAGGCACGAAAGCGUGGGGAUCAAAC
rnacentral:rRNA from 1 species